rnacentral:lncRNA from 13 species
AUGACUUGUCAGGGCAUUCUAGUGACUUGUCAGGGCAUUCUAGUGACUUGUCAGGACAUUCUAGUGGCUUGUCAGGACAUUCUAGUGGCUUGUCAGGACAUUCUAGUGGCUUGUCAGGAGAUUCUAGUGGCUUGUCAGGACAUUCUAGUGGCUUGUCAGGACAUUCUAGUGGCUUGUCAGGACAUUCUAGUGACUUGUCAGGACAUUCUAGUGGCUUGUCAGGACAUUCUAGUGGCUUGUCAGGACAUUCUAGUGACUUGUCAGGACAUUNNNNNNNNNNGCCCAGAAAGAGGACAUUCUAGUGGCUUUUCAGGACAUUCUAAUGACUUGUCAGGGCAUUCUAGUGACUUGUCAGGGCAUUCUAGUGACUUGUCAGGACAUUCUAGUGGCUUGUCAGGACAUUCUAGUGGCUUGUCAGGACAUUCUAGUGACUUGUCAGGACAUUCUAGUGGCUUGUCAGGACAUUCUAGUGGCUUGUCAGGACAUUCUAGUGACUUGUCAGGACAUUCUAGUGACUUGUCAGGAGAUUCUAGUGGCUUGUCAGGACAUUCUAGUGACUUGUCAGGAGAUUCUAGAGACUUGUCAGGAGAUUGUGGUCCUGAUAAGGUCGGAAAAAAUGUACACACACACACAAACACACACGCACUUGAUAUAACUUCCUUAGCCUUAACCUGGUUAAGCUGGUUGGCCAACAGGAAACCAAGCAGAGUGACCAGCACUAACACACCCUGGCACCUCAUCCUUUCCUACACAAAAAAACACCCCCAUCCAGGUUGGACAAUAAGUCAAUCAAUUAAUCAACCAAUCAAUCAAAUUCAUUUCUAAAUCCUUUUUUUUUUUACAUCAGCAGUUGUCACAGUCAUUGUACAGUAACCCGGUCGUUCCAGACUCCGAAGAACAAGCAAAGCAGAAGCAGACACCCAUGGUCUAGAAAACCCUUCCUCCUCGGACAACAAUAAUAAUAAAGGUCAACUAACCUGGAGAUUGUGGAGUUGGUAGAAGCAGUCUGCUAGGAGGUCCAGAGACUGAGUUGCCUCUCUGCUGUUACAUCGGUCAUCCUACCUGUCCAGGUCAUUUCUCUCUGCUGUUACAUCUGUCAUCCUACCUGUCCAGGUCAUUUCUCUCUGCUGUUACAUCUGUCAUCCUACCUGUCCAGGUCAUUUCUCUCUGCUGUGACAUCUGUCAUCCUACCUGUCCAGGUCAUUUCUCUCUGCUGUUACAUCGGUCAUCCUACCUGUCCAGGUCAUUUCUCUCUGCUGUUACAUCGGUCAUCCUACCUGUCCAGGUCAUUUCUCU